CAAUAAGUGCGUAUUUAUCCUGCUGAAGUGUGUGAAGCUAGAAUAAAUACUUCCUACUUUACAUGAGGAUCAGAGCGGUGGUCUGAGUUUGGGCUUCGACUCAAAGCUCUGCUCUCUAAUCUUUGAUAAAUAUUCAUCCCGUGGCCAUUUAUAUCCAAUUGUUGUGGGAGUCAUGAUGAAAGUGACUGGAGGUGGUCGGCUCCAAGAUCUGCUGCACAUUGGCUCAUUUUGAAUGGCUCUUCACUGUGUGUGGAAGCUUCACCAGGUCAGCGUGAGCCGUUCUGAUGAACCUGCUGUUGACUCAUACUGUACGUCCGCUCAGACUGGCACACGAGGAACACGGUGGCUCCUCCCCCUCAUAUUCUGUCGUCAUUUUUCAGGCGGGAAUUUUCCAAAAGUGUCUCUGCACGACGUUGGAAUGCUGACAGGACGGAGCACGCCUCUGGUUCUCCCACUGCCUGCUCCAUAAGUCAGAGUGUCUGCACAAACCAGCCCACGCACACAGUAGCGCAGAGCAACGGGCCGCGGGCACGAGCUCGGAACGUCCUGGAAUUGAUUCCUUUUGGAAUUUCUGGGAACCAAUUUGCCUGAGAGCCUUGAUCGUUGCAAUUUCUAUUGAAGUGCAGGCGGGAGAGCCCUUCCUCCGGCUGACACAUGCUUCACGUCAUGCCAACGUCAAACAAUGAGACAAGAUGUAGCACCCAGAUCUCACCGAGACGUAGCUUCAGGAUGACUCAGAAAUGUUCGCCUCCUCCUCCACCUCCAUCCUUCACUCAGUGAGGCUGCUGCAGGAAUUUGAGGGGAGAAUUCCUUCAUUUUCGCCCCCUGCCCGUCGGAGAAACCUGAUCCAGUGGGGGGACUUUGUUUGAAAUGGGAAGGUAACACCUCAGUGGAAGGCAGCCGUUCUUCACGCUCACUAUUAGGUGGGAGUCGCAUCAGAAUGCAUCAGUGCAACACAUCUCAGCUAAUGGGAUCUUCCUUGCUGAUAAUGGGUUACAAUUUGAAACCUCAUUUUGGUGAAGUAGUUAAGCUUUAAUGGCAGCAGUGCUUGACCAUUACCUGCUUGGAUGGUGGAAGAUAAAGACUGAUCUGUGAAUUAGACAUCGUUUUUUAAUGCGAAGAAUAUUUAGUGAACUCACGUCCGGGAGUUUCGCAGUGUGUCCUCCUGGAAACGGAUAACGGCGGUGAACUGAUGACUUGCAGGAGGAUCAUUUGGUUUUGCUGCUGCCUUGUUGAGCUGUAAGUGUAAGUGCACGUGUGCGCCAUCUACUGAACCAAAGGCAGAAUGUGUGUGAGAGGUCUGAAGUAAAGUUGGGAAAACCUGCUUCAGGUAAUGAUGACUGCGUAAGCCACAGAACGCAUCACGUCAUGUCCAUACAAGUGAGAAUAUGAGGAAUAAAUAUUUCAAAAGCUGUGUUCACCUACACUUAAACCCAGAAAAUCUGAAUUUGUCCACAUAUUUUCUACAGUACGUAUUAAAAUACCUUUUUUACUAGCAUUUCCCCCAUUCCUUCACACUUAUGUUUCAUGCAAAUGUAUUUAUUUUAAAUAGUCAUAGAUAAUAUGACAGGUCAGAAUAUAACAGCUUAUUUCAUGGAGUUCAUGCAUAAUUGUGCAGAAACGACAAGGUCCACACCAAAGCAAGAAAAUAACUAAAGGCUGAAGCAGAGCAGGCGAGAGCAUGUGGAGCACAGUCUUCAAACCAAAAUAAAGUCUGUAAAGUGACACCACAUCAUGGAGGAGACUCAUUUACAUCAGCGUGUGUGACCGCUUUUUCUCUUUUUUUUUUUUUGCUUUUAGAACUCAGAUGUGUGUGUGUGUGACGAAAUGUACAGAAAGUAGAUUCUUGUUUGUGCGGUGGUGUUCUUCUCUGUUCGAGCGCAUGCAGAGGAAUCUUCUGCAGCCGGGGGAGACACAUAAAAAAGAACGCCGGCAAUAUUAUUUCUGAAACCGAGUUGACGUUAUUGCAGUUUUAUGUGUCAUGGGAAAUCACUGUGUCCUGGGCUGCAGCAAAUGAUUAUUGAGAGCUAAUAGUGCGCGAUGUUUAAUAUAAGGGAAAGAACAGACAAAAUCACUCAUCGCACCUCAGGGAAUAAAUUAAGGUUGAGGGAGAGUGAGGGUGUGAGGCAUCCUUCCAGCAUCUUUAUUACCACCUACCUGGCUUUGUGUGGUGUCAUUGCCGGGACGCCUUUCAUACUGUACAGCUGGUUGGGAUCUGGAUUCCCAGGCUCUGCUGGAGGGACCGGUGCAUGCUGCAGCCACUGCACUGUUUACUGGAGCCAAUACAUCGGGCAAAUAUUGACUCGCGAAAUGUGGCGGCAAGUCGUGGUCGCCGCACGCUCCUGGGGCAAUGUGCAGUUUUACUUCAAUUUCUCUCGCCAUAUGUUUGACUUAACAAGACCACUGUCCUUUCGCUACGCACCUCAUGUUCUCGAGUGUGUGAAGCCAAACAAGGAUAAAUUUGCCGUCUGCAAACUGACUCAUACAUAAUUUACUUCUUUAAGUCGCUGGACUGGUGCAGCGCAGCGGACUGUGGCGUCGGGUCAUUGAGUCCUCUCCACAUCCUGAUCCCCAGGCAGCGCUCUCUCUCUCUCUCUCUCUCUCUCGCCCGCUCUCGCUCGCUCUCUCCCUCAUUGACCUUCUGCAGGGCAGAGUGCCGCUCAUGUGUUGUGCAGAAAAGCAGCGUUGUCUCAGGAGGCCUUCCCGCGCCUGGCUGUGCUUAUCAGCAAGAGGAGGAGAGAAGCUAUUUUCCUCCAUCCUUCAGUGAAGGGCACCUGGAGAGGCUCCGCACAGGUUGGACUCGCGGUGAAGGAUUACCAGCAGACUACAGAGACAAAACGACACAACACCAUGCAUGUGAAAUGGCCACAAACGACGCUGAAACACAAGAAAGAAGAGACAUUUGACUUUUUAGCAAGCAACAAAGAAAGAUGAUUGAAGGGGAAGCUUUACUUCUUGAUUGGCCUGUCAAUCAGACGCGUCCUCUCCGAUGCCUCCUCCUCCUCCGUCGUCGUGUGCGGCCGGCGCCGGGGAACAAAAGCGGGCCGUAAUUGCGGGCCGAACGCCGUGUUUUGAUCGAGCUGACUGACACGGAGCUGACAGCACAUUCAGCCGCCGUCGGCCGUGAUGGAGCCUCUGACGGCGUCCACAUGUCGAUGAUUGGUGAGCCGAUUCCGAGACACCUCCAUGGAUGGAACAAAACCGCGGCAGAGGACAAUAAAGGCACUGGAAACCAGUGAAGAAGACCAGUUAGGAUAAUGUAAAUAACUUCAUGUGACAUCUCUCCUGCUUCACCACUGGUGGUUCGAGUCCUGAGGCUUCGAGGCUGUUGUCUUGGCCACACACACACACACACACACACACACACACACACAUACACACACACACACACACACACACACACACACACUGCUUGUUCAGUGUUCUCCUCUCUCCUUGAGAAAAGAUUGGCUUUCUUUUUGCAGGCGCCUGCUCUUGUGUGAUUUGCUAGGAAUGUAAGUAAAUUGGGAAACCGUGUUGAACGAACACCUUCUGCCUGGCAGUCAAAUGGUGGAGUGUAAUGUAGAAAUAGAACUUCAUUUUUUGACCCUUUCAUGUGUUUCAAAAACUCAUUUCCUACUGUACGCUGGUCAGAAAUCUCCGUUUGAGCUCCAGCACUUUCUACAAGACCCAGAUUUUCUAUUGACAAGCUCCACCUGUGACCGUCCGAGUCUUUUACUGUACUUUAAUUCUAUUCCUCUUCUCCAGCAUUAGGUUCUACAUUCAGCUCACAUUUAUGCAGGUUCGUCUGCUACACACAUUCAAAUACGCCAAAUACGACAUGAAAGCAGCGAAGAGAUUCGUCUCUUCGCAGGUUUAGACCGCGCGGGUUUGUGUCCGGGCAUCAUUUGCCUUUGUACCCAUGGGUGUAGCUAAUGUGUGUGAGGGGGAGAUUGCGCGGCCCGCCGGGACUCUGCCCCCCCCCCCCCAGAUCGCUCUGCGUGGGUGGGUGGGUGUCUGGUCCGGCCGGGUGGAGGCGGCAGCACAUGCUGUCGUGAUGCAGGUAGCGGGUGCCUGGAAUGACAACGCUAUUAUAAUGAUUUGGAGGGAAUGUCUUCAUAAAUGUCUGCUCUCUGGGGAGGAUGAGGCUUUGUUUAUUUUAUUUAUUUAUUUUUUAAAGCAUGAAUAAAUUCAUGUCCACUCGCGUGCGCCGCGGCCGCGGCCUCUGUUUGCUCAUCUCGCAUGCAGCCGGCCGCGCGGCUCGUCCCGAGAGAUGAAAGUUUGUAAACAUGAAUAAUAAUUAGGAGCAGGUCGAUGGGCAGGUAAUCUGCAUGUGGGUUCCGGGGGCCCGGCGUUGAGCCGUCGGGGCGGCCGUCCAUUAGCAUUCCGCUCGCGCGCUAGCAUUUGAUCUCCUAUCAGGGCAAACAGAGUAGAUGUCAUUUCUAAUUGCUCGGCGAGGAGAUUAGAGGGAGCGGCGGGCGACGUCUGGGCGUCCCGGCCUUUUUGAUGAGACUCCGUUCAACAUUUCAAGUUUUUCGGGGGCCUGAAUCAGCCCAAAUGUGACACCGACACGUUAUCAGAGGGACGCGUGUACACAGCAAAUUGCUGCGGCCGCGCUGUGUUUGCCAGACAGCGCCGCCGCGCCCCUUUCAAACGUUGGUGGUGACUUUUAUGAAGGGAGCGUCUGUGGGACUGCUGCAUCCGAACACUUGGGAUUCAUGGAUUUGAUACGGAGCCUCUGGUGGCUCUAGGUUCCUUACUUAUUAAUAUAAUGACAGGGUGCUAAUGAUUAAUUAAGAGGCUGAGUCUCAUUAUUAGAGCGGUUUGAUCUUGAAGUGACUUUGGAGCAGCAAGAGAAAUCAAGGAUUUUGCUAUUCUGCAGCCAUGCCUCCUCCCGGCACUAACAAGCCCCCCACAGCAAACAGGGCCUCCUCACGGCCCGUCCCCCUUCUUAUAGAUAGUCUUAAGACUUUAAUCCGGGCCCAGUGACAGGCUCAUCCUCAGUCAAUAGGGUAAAGAGAAGCUCAUGGAGGGAUGUGUGCGCUUGUCCAAAGGCUGCUUCAGGAGGACACGCUCCGAAUCGUAAAGCAAAGCUCACCUCCAGCGAAGGGGAGCGCCGACAGACGUUCGUGGAUCCGUUUGCUGAAAUCACAAACUUCGAGUGCGAUCGCCCUGUCGCAGUGUAACAGAGAUUUUGAGGCUUAAAAAGGGAUGAAGCGACGGCAGACGCAGACACGGCCGCCUCGUGGCGCGUUCGCCGGCGUCCGCUUCAACCUUGUACCUGCUCGUUUGGCUGUUUGGCCGUGUGCGCGUCCUCCCAUGGGGCCUCGGCGGCGUUUAGGAGCCGUGAGCUGGAUUGUGUGAGGAUCUGAUGCCCUGCAGGUCCCAAUCCGUCUUUGUUAGGCCUCCUGUGCUCCAAUCGCACCCGCCCUGCCGAAGACUGAUCACCUCCACCGCCACCAACCUGCAGCCGCAGCUGAUAUAGCGAAUACGGAAUCUAGUGAAACUAGUGGCAUGCGCUUUGUAAUUGUCACAUUCAGUAGAGACGAUCCUUCGCUCGAACAGUGGUGACAAAACUACAGCUAUUGGGAUUUUGUUUGAAUACUUUUAAUGAUGCUUUAUCGCCUAAUUAAACAUCAUUAAACUGGAUUUUUGCCUUGGAAAAGAACAAAACCAUCAGCAGUUUUUGAGUUUCCAGCAUCACAUGAGGGAAGUUGUUAUUUGCACACGAUCUGCUGUAGCUGCAGACAAAACUCUCCCAUGAAAUAAGUGCCAGUUUCCCAAAAUAUAUAAACAAUUUUAAUUUUAGUUGUUGAAAUUGAUGUUCUAAGGAAAAUGCUAGACUUGUCCUGUGUUUCUGGUGCUCUCUUGUCAUCCCUCCAUUCGCCUGCUGCCUCGUGUGCUUGGCUGGUGAGUCAUCCUUGACCCUCAUUACUUCUCCUGUUUGCUCCCCUUUUCCUCCACCUCCUCCUGCUCUGUAAGUACUUUGCUGCUUUUAUCGGUGCUUCCUGUUUCUGCAGUUGGUCUCUUUUCCUCCUUUUGUAAUUUGUUGCAGUUUGAAUUGUUAGUUCACAGUUGUGCGUCACUUUAUGUUACUAGUACGAUUUAACAUUAGUUUAAGAUCUAAGUAUUUGCAUUUCAGCGGGUUUUCAUGCUUCAGUGAUAAACCUUUGUACAUACUGUACUUACUGUAUAUUGAAAAUAAUAAUAAUGAGCUUUGCAUGCAGUGUGUGGCAGGUGGGCCUCAUUGUUUAAACAUUAAGCAUCUCUGUAUUGACUGGUUGUUAACGUUAUCAGGAUGCCAAUAGCCAUUAUUGCUUAUCUUGUCUUGAUUAUCCUCUGAGCUGUAAAAUCAAUUAGACAUAAUCCAAUCCCAUUCCACGGGUCAAAAGUUCAUACUGGUGUUGCUCCACUGCUCCAAGUCAACAUUUUAUAAAGUGUAUUCCUCUCCUUCUAUGAGAAAUAUAGAUUUUAUUGCAUUUUACUGUAGAGAGUUAAGUGUCAUUCCCUUAAUAACAGCAUUGUUUUUUGUGCUUCUCAGUGGAAUGCAAUGCAAAUCUCAUCACGCUGUGUACAAUAAACAGCAGCUCCACAACAUA